GCCCAGUGAUGCUUUGCAAAGUGGAACUUAUAUGAGGUAUCUUAUACUCAAAAAUCUAAAGCUGAAGUACUUAAUGAUAAAUUAAUUUGUAUCAUAUACAAACCAUUAAUAGAUGCAAUUUUUGCAUCCUGCUUCUGCUUCACACUUACAAGAUGACUUUUGCAAUUUCUUUCUAAUGCUCAUCAUUGCUGUAAUAAAAAUUGAUACCCUUAAUGAAGAUAU
rnacentral:lncRNA from 1 species